UCAUUUGCUUUUCCUCUCAAUAGAACAGUGCCAGAGCACGCGCAAUUGGCAUUAGAACGCCUGAAAUUUCACACCAGAUGGCUCGUGUGCGCUUAAGAAUCCUGGUCCCUUUAUUGCUGAUUCUGCUCCCAAUUUGGCUUCCAGCUAUCAGAAACUCAGAAAAGCGAAGGUGGCAAUCCUUUUUUCAGCCGUCUGCUUGUAGCUUUCCGCCCAGAAAGCCUAUAAAUCCCCCUGGCUAGCUCCUAAAAUCUUUUCAGAAACAAAGUGCUAACUGCUCACUUAGUCACUUUCACAGAUGAAGGCUGGUCAUUUCCCAUUUUUUCUCCUCAUCCUUUUCCUCCAACCAAUUUGGAGUGUGUCUAAUGAAAGCACUAGUGGUAAGACUGCUGGAGUUCCCCAAUCAGCAGAACAAUUUCAAGGCCUAGAUGCUACCGCAAAGCUGAGCGAGGACCUGGAUCCUAUGAAAGGGCUGAGUCACUCGGGGAAAGGUGGCGCUGGAGGCAAAGGUGGUGGGAGAAGCGCUGGUGGUGGCGGUUCACAAGCUGCCCGUGAGCCACGUUCGGAACGAAGUAGUGAUGCACCAUCUAUCCUAUUGUUAAGUCUUUCCUUCACACAAGUCAUCUUCCAUGAGCUCCUUGUUUCUGUUUUACUUUUCUGAGUUUGGACUUCAAAAUUAGCAUAUUUGUACCAUCCGGAAUGAGCAUGUGUCCUUUGAUCAUUGUUGUUGUGGUAUGGAUACUGAUUAAGAAAUAAAAUUAUUGUUUGGAGUUGGAGUCGUCA